rnacentral:lncRNA from 1 species
GUCCCAGGCUGAGGUAGACCCCGGGCUGGGGGUGAUCGCGGCCCCAGUGUGAGGGGGUCCCGGUCUGAGGGGGUCCUGGGUCAGUGUGGGGGAUGUGGGUCCCUGCCUGAGGUGGGGGGAUCUGAUCUGAGGGGGGUCCUGGAGCCGGUCCCGGUCUGAGGGGGUCCUGGACCUGGUCCUGGUCUGAGGGGGUCCCUGUUAGAGGGGAUCCCGGGCCCAAGGAAGAUUUGGGUCCCUGCCUGGGGUGGGGGGAUCCAGUCUGAGGAGAGCCCAGGUUUGAAGGGGGUCCUGCUUUGGGGGGGUCCCAAUCUGAGGGGGUCCCGAUCCCUGUCCCGGCCCCGCUCCGUGGCACAGCCCCUUGUACCCCCACUCCUCGGAGCCUCACCCAGCCCCGAGCGGGGCCCUCCCGGACCUGUGGGGUCCCCCCAGAGCUUGUGGGGCUCCCCCAGGGCCUGGCCUGGCCUCCACCAAGGUGCCCAGGGCUGGUCACAGCCCACGGCUGCCCCUCCACGGCGCUGCCCCCGUGGGAUCCACGGCCACCCAGGGCUGAGGGGUCCCCAGGGCGAUGGCUCUGGGGGGGGUGGCUCUGGGGCCGGUGACCCCCAAGGGGGACGUGCAGCCAUCACCGACCUUUUCUCUGGGAAUCUCGGUAAAUACGUCAGCUUUGGGGUGGAGAAAUCUCUUGUGCUCCCUCUUGGGGGAUUUGGGGUCUGGGAGGGAUGCGGUGGAGCCCCGAGGCCGAGCAACGGGCACGGGAGGCAGGGUUUGUGCUGCCUGGGGUCGUUCUCCUUCACGCACGGCAUCUGUGGGUUUGCGCAGCAGCUCCUGUCCCUCGUGCAGCCGAAGGCUUUGGCUUUCCUCCCGGUGCCACGGCCAGCCGGUUGGGAAGGGACAAGCGGACGGCAUGCUGCGUGAUCGCUGCGGGACGGUCUCGGUGCUUCACGGGGCCAGGAGGACGACAGCUGAGCGGCCUUCCAGUCUGGAGGACAAAAGUAACCGGAGCAGGAUCCAGUGGCUGGCGGCUGGCAGAGGACGACUGGGAUUUGGAAUCAGGUGCAGGCCGCUGGAGUGACUCCCCGAGGCGGAUUAACCCGCUCAGAUGUACUGCAUGUUCUCCGGGGGGGCGAGCAGCAGGCUGGCAGGCGACUGGGUCGGAGAGGACAUCUGGAGCAGCCGGUGGAGAAGCUUCCCGGGGGCUGCAGGAGCGCAGGGACGACCGGAGAGGGCAAGGAACGUGCUCCGUGGCACCAGGAGAUGCCGAGGAGACUGGGGAGCUGACGCACAGCCAGGCUUCGGCAGCGAAGGAUCGAGCCUUGCGCAGAGCUCCGGGAGGGACUCGAGUUUCUUUGAAACCUGGAAGCCCCUCAAAGCUGCUGAAAUUGAAGUCGAAGGACAAAAUUCGCUCUUCAAGGGCGCAGUGGAAGGAGACUUGUGUGAAAAAUUACCCUGCUGAAGCUACACUAAUCGCAGCAUGCAGUACGUAUACUUGCAAGCACAGUAGGCAAAGUCUGACCCUGCCAGGCACUUAG